rnacentral:rRNA from 1 species
GACGUAGGGGGCGAGCGUUGUCCGGAUUUAUUGGGCGUAAAGAGCUCGUAGGCGGCUCGUUGCGUCGGCUGUGAAAACCCGCAGCUCAACUGUGGGCUUGCAACUGAUACGGGCGGUCUGGGAUUCGGUAGGGGAGACUGGAAUUCCUGGUGUAGCGGUGAAAUGCGCAGAUAUCAGGAGGAACACCGGUGGCGAAGGCGGGUCUCUGGGCCGAUAUCGACGCUGAGGAGCGAAAGCGUGGGGAGCGAACAGG